GACGAACGCUGGCGGCGUGCCUAAUACAUGCAAGUUGAGCGAUGAAGAUUGGUGCUUGCACCCAUUUGAAGAGCAGCGAACGGGUGAGUAACGCGUGGGGAAUCUGCCUUUGAGCGGGGGACAACAUUUGGAAACGAAUGCUAAUACCGCAUAACAACUUUAAACAUAAGUUUUAAGUUUGAAAGAUGCAAUUGCAUCACUCAAAGAUGAUCCCGCGUUGUAUUAGCUAGUUGGUGAGGUAAAGGCUCACCAAGGCGAUGAUACAUAGCCGACCUGAGAGGGUGAUCGGCCACAUUGGGACUGAGACACGGCCCAAACUCCUACGGGAGGCAGCAGUAGGGAAUCUUCGGCAAUGGACGAAGGUCUGACCGAGCAACGCCGCGUGAGUGAAGAAGGUUUUCGGAUCGUAAAACUCUGUUGGUAGAGAAGAACGUUGGUGAGAGUGGAAAGCUCAUCAAGUGACGGUAACUACCCAGAAAGGGACGGCUAACUACGUG
rnacentral:rRNA from 1 species